rnacentral:tRNA from 1 species
ACCUGGCUGGCUCAGCUGGUAGAGCAUGCAACUCUUGAUCUCAGGGUUGUAGGUUCGAGCCCCAUGUUGGGUG